AGUCGAGCGGUAGAGAGAAGCUUGCUUCUCUUGAGAGCGGCGGACGGGUGAGUAAUGCCUAGGAAUCUGCCUGGUAGUGGGGGAUAACGUUCGGAAACGGACGCUAAUACCGCAUACGUCCUACGGGAGAAAGCAGGGGACCUUCGGGCCUUGCGCUAUCAGAUGAGCCUAGGUCGGAUUAGCUAGUUGGUGAGGUAAUGGCUCACCAAGGCGACGAUCCGUAACUGGUCUGAGAGGAUGAUCAGUCACACUGGAACUGAGACACGGUCCAGACUCCUACGGGAGGCAGCAGUGGGGAAUAUUGGACAAUGGGCGAAAGCCUGAUCCAGCCAUGCCGCGUGUGUGAAGAAGGUCUUCGGAUUGUAAAGCACUUUAAGUUGGGAGGAAGGGCAUUAACCUAAUACGUUAGUGUUUUGACGUUACCGACAGAAUAAGCACCGGCUAACUCUGUGCCAGCAGCCGCGGUAAUACAGAGGGUGCAAGCGUUAAUCGGAAUUACUGGGCGUAAAGCGCGCGUAGGUGGUUUGUUAAGUUGGAUGUGAAAUCCCCGGGCUCAACCUGGGAACUGCAUUCAAAACUGACUGACUAGAGUAUGGUAGAGGGUGGUGGAAUUUCCUGUGUAGCGGUGAAAUGCGUAGAUAUAGGAAGGAACACCAGUGGCGAAGGCGACCACCUGGACUAAUACUGACACUGAGGUGCGAAAGCGUGGGGAGCAAACAGGA
rnacentral:rRNA from 1 species